CCUCACAGCUGUGCCAACACGGAUGUGUUCUGGUACCCGGGGGAUCGCUGCCAAACCCGUGUCAGUAAGGUGGGCGUGGGCAUGGCAGUUCCCCUGGUCAUCCUGUUCAUCGCCGGCAUCGUCCUCGCCGCCUUCCUGGUCAAGGCCAGGAGACAGGGCUCCAAAGCCAGCUUGAACAGCUCUGUUGAGCAUCUGGAGGAUUACGAGGAGGAAAUGAACAUCUCUGGGGGCGUCAUCAUCAAGAAUGAAGGAGCCUCGUACAAUGGGAGCGGCAGCAGAGGGACCUUCAGCCCUCAUCUCUCAGCCGUGGAUCCCGCCAUCCCGAUGCACAUCCGGAGGCCGAAGCUCGUGAGCAGCCCCUGACCCAGUCGGGGCCCCGCCCGGGCGGCGCGAGGGGGAGCCCAUUCGGGGCAUGGUGAAUAGUCCAGGCCCACUCCAGCCGCCAGGACCCAUGGAGCUAGAGCCCCCCACUGCCGGGGGAAGGGGGCAGAAUCCCUUGGUAGAGCAGCUGCUGGAGACGGAGAGGGAAGGGGCCUGUACGUGCAUCGGGCCUGAUCCUCUCCCCUUCCCCCGCUGGCACGGGUGUAAAUCCGGCGUAACCCACUGACACCAGCGCCGUUACUGCCAAAUGAAGGAAAAGUUUAUGCAUCUUUGGGGGGCACAUUGAACCCCGCCCUGCCAGUUCUGUUUAGUGCAAUAGGAUAUUUGAGCACACCAGCCAGGCCAGGUCUGCAAAGCACUUUAACGCAAACCCACCCAGACGGGCCUGCCUGGACACCUCGUGCAAUAACUUAUUAACCAUUUUCGUGGUGAUGGUUUCAUUUGUAGCUGUAGCCGCAGGCGUAGCAGAAGCUAAGGCCAUCCUGGGAUGCAUAAAUGGAGAGGAUGUCGAAUAGGGGCAGAGAGGUGAUUUUUGUGAUGCUCUGUAGCUCGGGGGAACACCCAGCACCCCCAUGUUCAUCCUGGUAAAAUGAUUGUGUGGCAUCCAGUGCAAAGUUUGUCAUGUCUUUGGGAGGCUCAUGAUGCACUGAACGUGGUUGUUUAGUAAUAUUAUAAGUUAUAAUUUAAUGUAUAUAGUUAUGAGACUGAACAUGUGUCCUCAUGGCUUAAAGCAAGCCCAGGCAAAAACUCUCCAGGAACAGAGGGGCAGUUCACACCUCAUCAGGGCAUGUAUGAGACAAACCCAGCCCAGCCUCACAGGAACAAAGGACACUGGCCUAGGCAGCAACAAAAGGAUCUGUUGGACUCUCGAGGGAGUCACCCCCCUUCCCUUGGUCAGUUUGGGACUGCGAUGAGGUAAUGCUGACCUGACUCUGAAGGGGUGGAACCAAGAGGGAAGAAAGGACACGAUAAAAGGGAGAGA
rnacentral:lncRNA from 1 species